rnacentral:lncRNA from 1 species
CUACAACAGGCUUGCAUGGAGGCACUAAAAAAACAAAUACUAAAUUAUUUCUGACAAAGGAAAUGACCCAUAACCUAACUAUUAAGAAUUAUCACGGGAAAUGAACUAAUGAAACAUGUUCAACCCCCCUCUUAUUUCCAUUUCUGAUCCUAAAUGUGUAACGACUCGGGAUAUACCUGUCCUGAUCAGAGUUAUUGGAGAGGAGCGGGAAAUCAAUAUUUGUAGAAAGAUUACAGACAGAGAGAGAGAGGCAGAUGGGAAAAGGAGCAAGUGACUAUUACGGGAAAUUAUAAGAAACUAGGUAUAGGGAAUUGCAAUGUGUAUCAAACAAACCGAGCCUUUGUCCUUCUUCGUCCAAGUUUAACUUUGAUCUCCAGCACGAUAAGGUAACAUUCUGUCGUCAUAACGUUAGCCUAUAACCUACCAGCGACCUGACUGAAAGACCUCGAUGUCGGGGGUUGAACUGUGUAGUACUGUAGCCCAGUCAGUGUAGCGUCGGGGUGACGCCCAUACCUAACAGAAAUCUACCUUGUUUGUACAGUAGGGUAGGCCUACAUAUAUAUAUAUAUAUUAAUUUUGAUAACCGCUGGUUUCGACUCCUCCUUUCCGUACAGUACUGGACUGCAGACCAAACUGUACACAGGACUCAUACAGGUGGUCGAGGCGAGCUCGGGAAGCAGAGACAGUGGAUCAGAGAAGUUGUGAACAGCCUUCCGGAUGGCCUUCUGUCAAAAUCGACUGACAUCCGCCAUGGCUGCAUAUCUGGGCAUAUUUAUUUUAGAUGCUGACCCACCUCCUGUCACAGCACCACAGACUCCAGUGCCAAUGACUUCUCAUGGCAGAGUUGUCAAACCACCGGACAGAUAUGGAGAGUAUGUGCAGUAAUUAACACAUAGCCUGCAUUAUGUGGCAGAAUAACCCCGCUGCAGCUAUGAAGGUGACUGACAGUCUACCCAGCCCACCUUAGGUUAGAAUAGUUAACAUUGAAGAAACAAGGGAAUGUUUAGUCGACAGAAAAUUAGUUGAGGUUUCAUGAGUUGUUUACAAAUUCAUAUGUUGGAGACAGAAGAUUAUUACAGAGAGAUGGACUAUAGGCAGCCAUUCAUGUAAUGUGAUGUUUUGACACAUUUUAGAAACACAUGUAUUAAACGAUUCAAAGAAAGUAUGAUGUGAUGUAUUGGAAG